ACCCCUGGCCUGGGAACCUUCAUGUGCUGCGGGCGCAGCCCUAAAUAGAUAGAAAGACAAAAAAAAGAAGACUCUCGGAGGCGCGUGCUCAGGAGUCACGAGCCUGCUCCUUUCCUCCCCCGCACGUUCCCAGUACAUAGAUUCCACGGACUUGGAGCCAAGCACCUUGCAGGAGGAGCCCGUGCGCUACCACGAGGCCUGGCAGAAGCUCUGCAGUGCCCAUGGCGUGCUGGUCCCAGGGGGAUUUGGCGUUCGAGGGACGGAAGGAAAAAUCCAAGCGAUCGCCUGGGCGCGGAAACAGAAGAAGCCUUUUUUGGGUAAGGGUUAGCAAAGACGAGAAGGUGCCCCACGGGAGCCCCUAAAUGCAGCGGAGUUUCCCCAGACCAAACGUCGCCGCCGUCUUCCCAGACGGCAACUCCAGUCGAUGCCUUCGUGGCUCAGUUUUCCCGGAAUUCAGACUCAUCUCUAAAAUGAGAAGUUGAAGCUGACUGAGCUCCAUGUUGUUGUCGUGGGACUUGGAGGGAAUGAACGGCAGUUAGGAAAUCUCGUCCAUUUACCGGACCCAGCUGUUUGGCAGGACAUGUGAGACUGGGUUUUACAUCCUUGUCUGGAACGCCAGCUGUCUAAUUGGGCAAAGUGAUUUUGGAUGCUUCCUGGGGCUAUAAAUUUUAGUAAUAUUCAGCUUGAUCAGUUGUAAACGGGAACUUAAUGAGAGAGGAUGAGAAAACUGGAAUUCGAAAGUACUGAAUAGAUUAUUAUUUUCUGAAAUCACGUGAUUUCUAAGUCCCGGAAUCUUCAUACAUACUUAACCCCGUUUUUGAGAUCUGGCACAGGUAGAACACAGCGGGGGGGUGGCAUGUUUAUGGCAGGAAAUGAUGAGCAUUUGUGUUGGAAUUCUGUGAGCAAACGGGACCCGGAGCCCAGGGCAGGUGCGUGGGACAUGCGGGAGCGGCCUUUUCAAUGGACUCUGAUUUGUUCCCCCUUAUC
rnacentral:lncRNA from 1 species